GGACGGUUCGAGUAAGUGAUAUUUCGGAACAGAAUCUAGUUCCUUCGAUAUAUUACUAGAAUACAUUGGUAUCGAAGGAACUAGAUUCUGUUCCGAAAUAUCACUUACUCAAAC